ACACUUGAGAAACCACAUUCAUACUUGGACCUGAUUUAGAUGACGAGAUUAUGGACUUGAAGCUGAUAUUGCAAUGGAAUGAGAAUUUUGAAGUCUUUGGGGGCAGGCCACUGUCAUAAGGACGCCUGGAAGAGUGAAGAAAGGCCUGAUUGAUCACAAGGUCCUAUCAAAUGUCAAAGCUGGCCCUGGCUGACCUCCCAUCUAUUCAGAGCUGCUUUGAUUUAAUCUCCAAACUGGCUGCUUCUCCAGGCUAGAAGAGAAUUGAAAAUUUCAAGAAGGCAAAGGUGAUGGAAGUGUCUUCAUGAGACCCUUGGGUAACAUAAAUUGGCAAAGAAUUGGAUGAUCUGGGUUCUAAGAUCUGGCCUUAAAACUAGCCAUCUAUUGACUGAGUAAGUUACUUCACUUUUUGGUGGUCUUAGUCUCUUGAUAUUCACCACACAGGGUUUGGAAAAAAUGUAUUUCUUUGUUCCUACUAUGGCUAAAUUAUAUGGAUUUUUUCUGUCCUGUAUUCAGAAUCAAAUACUAGUUUUUCCUUCAUACCUCAAUAAUGUGUAUAAGCACCUAGGGCCAGAUACAUUCUAAGUGUUCAAUAAGUAUUUGUUGAGUGAAUGGAUGUACUUAGUUGUCUGCCUGGAUCAAUAGCUCCUUUAACACUCCAUUAUUAAAGCUUGAUAUUUUCCACACCUAGACUUAAGCAAAGUAUUAAAACAUGGAUGUUUUUGAUGCAGGUGAAAUAUUUUGCUACAGAGUGGUAGAGGAUCACUAGGCACAACCCUCUGCUCUUGAGUUGCUAAAAGGGCCUACUUCCAGAGAUGGCCAAGAAAGUUUGGGACUCUAGCACUCAGCUGAUUUUCCUAAAGAAAAGCCCUCAGGAUGUGCUCAAAGACCUGGAUCAGGCACACUGAGGUGAUGAUGGGAGGUCAGGAAAAUGGCCAGAAUGGAACUAAGAUUUAACUUCCCAGAACACUCAUAUAUGAUUUUUCUGAAAAGUUUUUUCCGCACCUUAGCAAUAUUAACUACUUUGAAUACUCAAGUCCAGAAUAAUUACAUUUUCCUUCUUUCACAUUCUGACACUUAUAUAUAUAUCACUUAUGAGAUAUUUAAUACUACUCUUUUGAGAAUAAAUAGUUUAUUUUUAGUGUGAUGAUGUCUUUUUAAUCCAAUGAAACUGUUAGCAUCAAUAAGGACAGAGAUACUACCUUUAUUUCUGGCACACAGUUCUCUGUAUCUCGCAAACUCCAGCACAGUAUAAUCUACUCAGCAUCAGACACAUGGGAAAACACUAUCUAAACAGGAAAGCAUUGUACAAACAUUAGUAGUUGUUAUUAUGAUUAGAAUUGAUGUUUCAGGUAAUUUAAUAAUUACUCUUACUUCUGGUACAUACCCUCCUCCAGGAAUGUAAAAGCUCGUCAGUGUUUACUGGGCUUAGCAUAGAUGUCCUGAGAUCUUAGCAUUUCUAAGAUUUCAAACUGUACAAGAAUAUACAAAAGAACAUUUAUCAUGCUCUCCAUUCAGAAGGAUAAUAUUAAAAAUUAAUAAGCAUUUUAGUCUGCUGGGAUGCAACAUAAUUCAGGGGAGGGGAGGAGGUCCGUCGCUAUCUUUUUCAAGGGCAAUUCACAACAACACUUUGCAUGAUAAAUUCCUGAAGCUUGAUGUUCUCCUCACCAUUAUACAAUGUGAGUGCUGACAAGGUCUUUUAAAAAUAACAAUACUUUAUUUUAAAUUAGUUCAUCUGUUUGGGGAAAAAGGCAGCAGUGUGCACCUAUAUAGGUGUCAUAUCCUUUAGUCCCAUAAAUUUCACAACUAAAACUAUAUCUUCUUUUUUUGUUUGUUUGAAAUGGAGUCUCACUCUGUUACCCAGGCUGAAAUGCAGUGGCACAAUUUCGGCUCACUGCAGCCUCCACCUCCUGGGCUCAAGUGAUUCCCCUGCCUCAGUCUCCUGAGUAGCUGGGAUUACAGGUGGCCACCACCGCACCCAGCUAAUGUUUGUAUUUUUAGUAAAGAUGGGGUUUUACCAUGUUGGCCAAGCUGGUCUUGAACUCCUGACCUCAGGUGAACCACCUGCCUUGGCCUCCCAAAGUGCUGGGAUUACAGAAAUGAGCCACCACGCCUGGCCUAAAACUAUAUCUUAAAAAAAAUAGUUCACGUAAGAAACAAAAAUCUUAAGGAAGGAAUGACUUUACUUGUGACUUAUUGAUGAUAAAAGGAACUUGGAAACAAUUUGGAUGCCCAAUAUUAGAAAUGCUUAAAUAAAUUAUACUAGCAAGAAAACACAUUAGAAAGAUGUUAACAUUUAGCACUUUAGAGCUUAGACAAAUAUAUAGAAAAAUUUUUUUUGGAAAAGCUUAAUGCGAUAUUUGUACACAAGUAUGUGAAAUGCUAUAUAUGAAUGCUAACAUUCCCCAAAAGCAAAGACUUAUUUUACUGGGUAGGCUGUUUGCAUUGUAUAAAAAACAUGAGUUUAGAAUUAGAGCUAGAUUUAAAUUCCAGUUCUUCCAUAAGCUGUGUGACACUUGCAAAUUAUUAAUCCUCUCUGGAUAUCUAUUUCCUUAUUAGCAAGUGUGUGUGUGUGUGUGUGUGUGUGUGUGUGUGUGUGUGUGUGUGUGUUAAGCAAAGCCACUUUAAGAGUCUAGGACAUAGUAGGAGCUCAAUGCUAUUAUUUCCCUUUCCCUUUACUAAAUACCUGAGACUCCCUUGGUUUAAAAAGUUUUGUUCAAAUUGACUGACUUUUAUAGAAAUUUCAAUGUCGUUGUUUUUGACCCAUGCAAGAAUUUCUAACAGAUGAGACUCUAUUAAUUAAUGUGAUGAUUCUCCUGUAAUUGGUCAAUAAUCUUUACAUUUGAAUAGAUUUCAGAACAGUAUUAAAUAUCUUGGGUUGGAGGUUAAUUUCUAUAAACAGAAAUGUAUAUCCAACAGUGUUGCAUUUUAGCUGAUCUUGACUAUAAACGAGUGCAAUUUGUGUUCAUUUCCCAUAUAUCAUUGACACUAAAUUUUGGAACACUUACAUCUGGGU
ensembl:lncRNA novel transcript